CUGCAGCCCGACUUGAACGGAGCUCAUUUUUUGCGGCGGGAAAUGCGGCGGGAAAAAUAGCGGGAGUGGAAGGCGGAAAAGCU
rnacentral:misc_RNA from 1 species